AUUGAACGCUGGCGGCAUGCUUUACACAUGCAAGUCGAACGGUAACAGGGAGCUUGCUCCGCUGACGAGUGGCGAACGGGUGAGUAAUGCAUCGGAACGUGCCGAGUAGUGGGGGAUAACGCAGCGAAAGUUGUGCUAAUACCGCAUACGUACUGAGGUAGAAAGUGGGGGACCUUCGGGCCUCACGCUAUUCGAGCGGCCGACGUCUGAUUAGCUAGUAGGUGAGGUAAAGGCUCACCUAGGCGACGAUCAGUAGCGGGUCUGAGAGGAUGAUCCGCCACACUGGGACUGAGGCACGGCCCAGACUCCUACGGGAGGCAGCAGUGGGGAAUUUUGGACAAUGGGCGAAAGCCUGAUCCAGCCAUGCCGCGUGUCUGAAGAAGGCCUUCGGGUUGUAAAGGACUUUUGUCGGGGAGGAAAUCCCCAGCGCUAAUACCGCUGGGGGAUGACAGUACCUGAAGAAUAAGCACCGGCUAACUACGUGCCAGCCGCCGCCGUAACAC
rnacentral:rRNA from 1 species